UACGGAGGGUGCAAGCGUUAUCCGGAUUCACUGGGUUUAAAGGGUGCGUAGGCGGGGAGGUAAGUCAGUGGGGAAAUCUUGGAGCUCAACUCCAGAACUGCCAUUGAUACUAUCGAUCUUGAAUAUUGUGGAGGUGAGCGGAAUAUGUCAUGUAGCGGUGAAAUGCUUAGAUAUGACAUAGAACACCCAUUGCGAAGGCAGCUUGCUACGCAUAUAUUGACGCUGAGGCACGAAAGCGUGGGGAUCAAACAGGAUUAGAUACCCUGGUAGUCCACGCCCUAAACGAUGGAUACUCGACAUACGCGAUACACUGUGUGUGUCUGAGCGAAAGCAUUAAGUAUCCCACCUGGGAAGUACGUUCGCAAGAAUG
rnacentral:rRNA from 1 species